UACCAGCUCUCCGAGUGGUGUGGAUGUUUAUUGGGCCUAAAGCAUCCGUAGCUGGCUGGACAAGUCCCCUGUUAAAUCCACCGAUUUAAUCGUUGGUGUGCGGGGGAUACUGUUCGGCUAGGGGACGGGAGAGGCAGACGGUAUUUUCGGGGUAGGGGUGAAAUCCUAUAAUCCCGGGAAGACCACCAGUGGCGAAGGCUGUCUGCUAGAACGCGCCCGACGGUGAGGGAUGAAAGCUGGGGGAGCGAACCGGAUUAGAUACCCGGGUAGUCCCAGCUGUAAACGAUGCAGGCUAGGUGUUUGGACGGCCACGUGCCGUUCUAGUGCCGCAGGGAAGCCGUUAAGCCUGCCGCCUGGGGAGUACGGCCGCAAGGCUGAAACUUAAGGAAUUGGCGGGGGAGCACCACAAGGGGUGAAGCUUGCGGUUU
rnacentral:rRNA from 1 species